rnacentral:lncRNA from 1 species
UCGUACCCAAUGUAUAUAUAAGGUGAACAUUAUAAAAAAGCUAUAGUUAUACUUUAUAAUAAAUGAACAAUAUAGUAUAUAGAUAAGAUUACAGUGAACAAAUGUGUGUAAGCCUUGGAUAUUAACCAUAUGUGCAGGCAAAAUCCCUAUACAUGACGCUAGAAAACUACUUGUUUUCAUCUUGAACCAACUUAAAUGAAAGUGAUAUUGAUCAGUGUAGACUUUCAUUAACCAUCUACAUAACACCAGGGCGUGAAGGAAUAAAUGAAUUACUGGUAGAUGUGGUUUCGGCUAUGAGCAACCAUGUCUAAAGAGCAUUAUAGUAACACAACUGUAAGUUUAUCAAUUAAUCCACUCUACUCCCCAAAACUAUUUGGCUUUUCCAUCUAACCUCUUGAAGGAUCUUUUGUCUUACUUGAUUACCACAAAACUAUUAAAAAUUUCAUUCCAUACAAGUUUAAACUGGAAUCCACACU